UGAGAUGAAGCACUGUAGCU
rnacentral:ncRNA from 9 species